rnacentral:rRNA from 1 species
CGAUGAUGCCCAGCUUGCUGGGUGGAUUAGUGGCGAACGGGUGAGUAACACGUGAGUAACCUGCCCCUGACUCUGGGAUAAGCGUUGGAAACGACGUCUAAUACUGGAUAUGAUCACUGGCCGCAUGGUCUGGUGGUGGAAAGAUUUUUUGGUUGGGGAUGGACUCGCGGCCUAUCAGCUUGUUGGUGAGGUAAUGGCUCACCAAGGCGACGACGGGUAGCCGGCCUGAGAGGGUGACCGGCCACACUGGGACUGAGACACGGCCCAGACUCCUACGGGAGGCAGCAGUGGGGAAUAUUGCACAAUGGGCGAAAGCCUGAUGCAGCAACGCCGCGUGAGGGAUGACGGCCUUCGGGUUGUAAACCUCUUUUAGUAGGGAAGAAGCGAAAGUGACGGUACCUGCAGAAAAAGCACCGGCUAACUACGUGCCAGCCGCCG